rnacentral:rRNA from 1 species
CAGUCGCCGCGGGAAUACGUAGGUGGCAAGCGUUGUCCGGAAUUAUUGGGCGUAAAGGGCUCGCAGGCGGUUUCUUAAGUCUGAUGUGAAAGCCCCCGGCUCAACCGGGGAGGGUCAUUGGAAACUGGGAAACUUGAGUGCAGAAGAGGAGAGUGGAAUUCCACGUGUAGCGGUGAAAUGCGUAGAGAUGUGGAGGAACACUAGUGGCGAAGGCGACUCUCUGGUCUGUAACUGACGCUGAGGAGCGAAAGCGUGGGGAGCGAACAGGAUUAGAUACCCCUGUAGUCCCUGUCUCUUAUAC